UAGACUUAACGAAAUAUUUUGUCAAAUGUGACAGAAUAUUCCCCUGGGAUCUGUUAGCACCUGCAGGCGCAUGACCUGCACAUGGUCGCACAUGUGGCCGCGAGCUGGAGGUGUGUGAGGGCGCGUGCUGCUUUGUGCCAACGCAUGGUCGACAUGCAUGGGUCCGUGACAUCGCGUAGAAUGUUUUCGUAUAUUUAAACCCUCCGUUUGAGUAAACUAUGAAGGAUUUUCCUAGCCUUUUCAU
rnacentral:lncRNA from 1 species